UAGAAUUCCAUUCCAACUGUAAGAGAAAAACAAGCCCUUCCUCAAACAAGUUCUUGUUUUCAGAAACAAUGAAACGCUGACUCAAUACUUCCUGAACGUGUCCCUUUCUACCCCUUGGCAGAGCUUCUAUAAGCAGAACGAUCAGAAGGAGGGGAGGAAAGUAGACAGAAAGAGAAGCAAGGAAUCUGGGUGCAUUUCCAAGCUGAAUAAUCAGCUUCCUCCUCCGAAAGGGAAUUGGCAAGGCUGUAUGGAAGGAUCCAUGAUUCCUUCCCUCUGAUUGUGGCAGCAGUAUGUAAGCUGGCAAGAGGGCCCUGCAGAUACUAUGGAUGGACAUAAUCAUCCCUCAAAGGCUCCCAUUUAACUCACUGUAAUUUAAGAUUACACAGCCCUACUUGCUCUGCAUACGUCUUCUUCUGGGCAGAUCCCAUCAACCUCUUUGGUUACCAGCUACACCACUCAGCAGCACACGAAAGGACAUGUGAUUUCCUAGAGCAGAGAACAUGUAGAAAGAACAGUCAUGCUCCAGUUUAAAAGGACAGAACUACCAACAAAGUGGAGGAGAAAUAGCUAGAGACAUGGGCUGGGAGGCUGAGCAAUACACGCUGUGUUGGUAACUGGAGAUCGAAACGAGGCACCGGGGAUGUGAUGAUGUAGCAUGAAGGAUCAGAACAUGGAUAACAGCUACUGCUGCUGAAUGCUAAGACAUCUAGAAAUAAUCGACCCAAGGAUAACAAAAAUGAAACUCCUUUGGCUGACCGAUCGUAAUACUCGCAAGACAAAUGCUUGAUCAAUGGCAGCAUAUUCCAUGCCCUGCGUUGCAAUUUUAGUAAGUAUGAUGGUGCUUUUUCAUUAUGAGGGACAGUGAGACUGUCUAAUCUAUGUGUUCCCGAAUCCACAGUCCCAUUUAACAAAAGGCCAUGAUGAGAAGGGAAACCCCUUUUCAACUGAAAACUGGGACUUUACACACAAUCAGUUUCAAAGAAUUGCUUGGCUCAAGAGAGAAAGCCAGAGCUGGUAAGUGUUAGGAAAC
rnacentral:lncRNA from 1 species